UACGAAGGGGGCUAGCGUUGCUCGGAAUCACUGGGCGUAAAGCGCACGUAGCCGGGUCGUUAAGUCGGGGGUGAAAUCCUGGAGCUCAACUCCAGAACUGCCUUCGAUACUGGCGAUCUUGGAGUCCGGGAGAGGUGGGUGGAACUGCGAGUGUAGAGGUGAAAUUCUUAGAUAUUCGCAAGAACACCAGUGGCGAAGGCGGCUCACUGGCCCGGUACUGACGCUGAGGUGCGAAAGCGUGGGGAGCAAACAGG
rnacentral:rRNA from 1 species